CGGCCUACAUGCCGGACGCAAGCCCGUUGGUCUCCAUGUCAGUGAGGUUGCCCCGCAGGUCCUGCUCCUCCUCGAAGGCCUUGAACAGUGAGUUGAAGUUGCCGGCUCCAAAACCCUGGAGCGGGAGAAAGGAGCCAAGGCCCCCGGGGCCCGAGGGAGGCCCCACCUGGAUCUGGGACUUCUUCCUGCCCGGCGCUGGCUCGUUAAUGGGCAUUUUGAUGGACUCCUCGUAAUUGGCCACCACGAUGGACCGCAGAGAGCUGUACUCCGUGUGCACCUGCGUGUCAUCCACGGACCAGAAACGGUGGAACUGCAGGUUCUUCAGAUGAGGACAUUGAGGCACAGAGAAUUUAAGUCACUCACCUGAAGUCACACAGCUAAUAAGAUUGAGAACCAGCAGUCUGCCUCUGGAAUCUACACUCUGAACGUCUAAACUGCCUCUUGAAUACAGUGUUUGAUGCAGAAACUGAGGCUCAGAGAGAGGUUGCAUGGCUACUAAGGGGCAGAGUGUCACUGGAACUCAGGUGUGUGUCAACCAACAUCUGGGCGCACCACUCCAGCAUGGCGGUGUCCUCCAGCCCUGACUGAUGGGGGUCCCUGUCGCAGACAGAGGGCAGGCCGAGCCUCACUGCUUCGUCUCCGCGCCAGCCCAGGUGCGGCCUCACCUGCACGAUGUAGUCACAAUCCUCCACCUCGAAGGCAAUGUCCUUCACUCCGUCGCCGUGUUUCACCAGGUGCCGAGAUCCUUCCGGGAAGAAAACCUGCUCCCUGGCCCAUGCUGAUCUCAGAUGAGGAAACUGAGACUCAGGAAGAUGAAGACUUGCCCAAAUAACAAAUUGUCGGAACUUGCCUGCUGGCUCAGUGGUUAAGAAUCCGCCUCCCAAUGCAGGGGACAUGGGUUUGAGCCCUAGUCCGGGAACAUCCCACAUGCCGCGGAGCAACUAAGCCUGUGCGCCACAACUACUGAGCCUGCGCUCUAGAGCCCUCGAGCCACAACUACUGAGCCUGCGUGCUGCAACUACUGAAGUCCGCAUGCCUAGAGCCCGUGCUCUGCAACAAGAGAAGCCACCGCAAUGAAAAGCCUGCGCACCGCAGUGAAGAGUAGCCCCCGCGCGCCGCAACCAGAGAAAGCCCACGGGCAGCAA